AGUCCAUUUAUGUUCUCUCUCUGGAACCCUCUGUCUCUUCUCUCUCUCUUAUCUUCUUCUCCUUUCUAAUAAACGUAUUUUUUUCUUUUUUUCUUUACCUCCCAAACCACCGAUCUGUACUGUGAUUCAACUCCUUCAUAACCCAGCCUUAGCACCGAUCUCUCUCUACGAAUCCAGAUCAACAAAAAAAUUUGAAACCCAAGAACAUUUGCAGCCAAUCUGCAUUAGAGAAGAGCCAGAAAAAAAAAAUUGGAGCUCAAGUCCGUAUAUGUUCUUUCUCUCUGGAACCCUCUGUAUCUCAUCUCUCUCUCUUUUCUCUCUAUCAUUUCAAGACAACAGGACCAAAUCGGCCCAGCAAGAAAGAAAAAAAAAAAAAAAACAUGGGAGGAAACACCGAGUAAUUUUUACAGUGUUCUUUCUGUUGAGUAGGAUUAGAAUGCCUUUUGGGUUGUUGGAGGUAAGGAGAUUAGAGGCUCUAUCUUUGAUUUGAAGGGGCCCUGUGGUUUACCCCGAGCCUUAGUGAGUCGGGGUAUUGGCUAAAAAUCCACUGAGGUCCUUGAGAUGGCACGAGUCAUCAAGUAGAGGUUUGUGAUUCCAAGGCUGCAGAGCAAGAGAUUGUUCUUGAGAAGUUCGAUGUUUUAAGGGAUUGAAGACCAACAUUACCAAAGAGCUCAAUGCCAGGCACAAAAGUUUUCUAUGGCUCCCACUAAAGGAUAUGUCACUUUUGUUAGAUAAAGCUAGCGAUUAUGGACUGUGGCUAUGAUUUGUUGAGCUUCUUUGAGUUGUGAAACUGAAGCUCUCUCUCUUUCCAAAGAGUACUGAUCACACAUGCAGCAGAACAACAUCCUGAUGAGGUCAGAUUUUCAAGGUUCGAGGACAUGAAAGCAAAUGUCCAUAAGGCAUUUGAUGAAGAGCUUCUAUUAUAGCAUAUGACAACAUUAAUUGCGAAAAAUUGAAUAUUGUUACAAUGUUGUAGCAAAACUCAGUUGUUUAUUGUUGAAGGAUGAUAUUUGUAACU